UUGAGGGACCUGAGGCGACAGACUCCGGAAAGGGGAAGAGCAGCCAACAUGGCGGCGGAAAGCGGCGCGGGGCAGCAACAGUCGCAGGAGAUGAUGGAGGUUGACAGGCGGGUCGAGUCCGAAGAAUCUGGCGAUGAAGAAGGGAAGAGGCACAGCAGUGGCAUCGUGGCCGACCUCAGUGAACAGAGCCUGAAGGAUGGAGAGGAGCGGGGGGAGGAGGACCCAGCAGAAGAACACGAGCUGCCUGUGGACAUGGAGACCAUCAACCUGGACAGAGAUGCGGAGGAUGUUGAUCUGAAUCACUAUCGCAUUGGGAAGAUUGAAGGAUUUGAGGUACUGAAGAAAGUGAAGACUCUCUGCCUCCGCCAAAAUUUAAUUAAAUGCAUUGAGAAUCUGGAGGAGCUACAGAGUCUUCGAGAGCUGGAUCUUUACGACAACCAGAUCAAGAAGAUUGAGAAUCUGGAGGCGCUAACAGAGCUGGAGAUACUAGAUAUUUCUUUUAAUCUGCUGAGAAACAUCGAAGGGGUUGACAAGUUGACACAACUGAAAAAACUCUUCUUGGUCAACAAUAAAAUCAGUAAAAUUGAGAACUUAAGCAACUUACAUCAACUACAGAUGCUAGAGCUGGGAUCUAACCGCAUCCGGGCAAUCGAAAAUAUUGACACGUUAACCAAUCUGGAGAGUUUGUUUUUGGGGAAAAACAAAAUUACUAAACUUCAGAACCUGGAUGCGCUCACCAACCUGACGGUCCUCAGUAUGCAGAGCAACCGGCUGACGAAGAUCGAGGGUCUGCAGAGCCUGGUGAACCUACGGGAGCUGUACCUCAGUCACAACGGCAUCGAGGUCAUCGAGGGCCUGGAGAAGCAACAACAAACUCACCAUGUUGGACAUUGCAUCAAAUAGAAUCAAAAAGAUUGAAAACAUCAGCCAUCUAACAGAGCUGCAAGAAUUCUGGAUGAAUGACAAUCUUCUUGAGAGCUGGAGUGACCUCGACGAGCUGAAGGGAGCCAGGAGCCUGGAGACGGUGUACCUAGAGCGGAACCCCCUGCAGAAGGACCCCCAGUACCGGAGAAAGGUCAUGCUCGCCCUCCCCUCUGUGCGGCAGAUCGACGCCACGUUCGUCAGGUUCUGAGUCCUCCUUGCUCCUCACGGGGUCCCUGUCCUCGGAAGAACUGCCCAGCCAGUUUUUUAACCUACCUGUUGCUCCUGAGGUCGUCACUGUAUCAACAGUCACAAACCCAAUGGCAGUAAAGGCACUGACAUAGCUGACGCGUGACGCACGCGCAUUUUCAGAUGCCAUUGCAAUUAAACCUUGCCACAAGUCCUCCUGGGUGAGUGUCGACAGUUAUUGUAGCCACAGGGAGAGUGCUGGACACGUCGUGUUCGUCUGCUAGAAAUUCCUUUGUUUCCUCCUCUCAGGAGGCGGUCACAGGCCCCACCUGAGCCGUGCGAAACACAGGGCCUAAGGGUGCUUCACGGCAUUCACGUGCAGUCCGGGUGGUGCUCCGGAGCUGGCCCGGCUGGCCUCAGUCCCGGUUAGCAGGGUUCAGGCAGGCCUGACUGCAACAGCUGAGGUUUUUUUAGUCUUUUAAAUCAGACAAGGCCCAUUUUUAAAAAUUACGUAAGUUUAAAAAAAAGCAUGGGUAAAAGCUGCCUGAGGCCUGUGUGCUGUGUUGCUUAGAGCUGUCCUUUAACAAGCGCCGGGCAGGCCAACUGCUUUCACGUGUGCCUGUCAGUUCUCGCCGCAGCUUAGGUGGGUGUGGGUGAAAGCUCAGGUGUGGGGAGGGCGCCCCACGUCCGCACGGUCUGUACUGCUGCCAGAGUGCGAGCCCAGUGAAUCUCCACAGACGGCCCCCAAGGAUCGGAACUCUGGGCCCCUUGUGCAGUGGCCUCCGGUUCUCACCCCAUUGUUUUGGCUUUUUUAAUAUAAAAUGUACAUUGACAGA